UACGAAGGGGGCUAGCGUUGCUCGGAAUCACUGGGCGUAAAGGGUGCGUAGGCGGGUCUUUAAGUCAGGGGGGAAAUCCUGGAGCUCAACUCCAGAACUGCCUUUGAUACUGAAGAUCUUGAGUUCGGGAGAGGUGAGUGGAACUGCGAGUGUAGAGGUGAAAUUCGUAGAUAUUCGCAAGAACACCAGUGGCGAAGGCGGCUCACUGGCCCGAUACUGACGUUGAGGCACGAAAGCGUGGGGAGCAAACAGG
rnacentral:rRNA from 1 species